CAGCGCAUGCAUUGAGAGAGUGUUCAGUGUAGCAGCUGACCUCUUGACAAGGAAACACGGAAGAAUCAGCGAUGACAACUUUGAAAAACAACUCGUGCUGAAGGUGAACAUGUAGCACCAUAUCAAAGAAGCCACAAUAAGCCUCCCAGCCUUUGCACCUUUAGACAAGCCUCCAGCCUUCUAUCAUGCAAGCCACAGUAUUUGUGGAACCACAGUAUUUGGUUGUAGUUUGAGCAAACUUGUGCUAUUGUGUUACGGCAAUAAAAUUUUGAAGGAAAGUAACGCAAAA
rnacentral:lncRNA from 1 species